rnacentral:sRNA from 1 species
AUUCUGCCCAUGCGGGGAAGGAUGAGAAGCUUCGACCAAGGUUCGACUCGAGCGCCAACGAGAGAGCGUGGCCGCAGGCAACGACCCGAAGGGCG